CGGACGGGUGAGUAACACGUUGGAACCUGCCCCGAAGUGGGGAUAACUGCUCGAAAGAGUAGCUAAUACCCCAUAGUAUCCGGUUUAUCCGGAUUAAAGAUUUAUCGCUUCGGGAGGGGCCUGCGUCUGAUUAGCUAGUUGGUGAGGUAAAAGCUCACCAAGGCGACGAUCAGUAGCUGGUUCGAGAGGAUGACCAGCCACACUGGGACUGAGAUACGGCCCAGACUCCUACGGGAGGCAGCAGUGAGGAAUCUUCCACAAUGGGCGCAAGCCUGAUGGAGCAAUACCGCGUGCAGGAAGACGCUUUUCGGAGUGUAAACUGCUUUUGUCGUCGAAGAUUAUGACUGUAGACGAAGAAUAAGGACCGGCUAACUACGUG
rnacentral:rRNA from 1 species